GCUCCGGUGGCCUAGUGGUUAGAGCAUCGACCUCAGAUGCGGGAGGUCGUGGGUUCGAACCCAGACCGCGUCA